GUAAUGAUGCCUCCUCACUUCAUCACAAAAGGCAAAACGCAGCAAGCACUUAAAUCCUGGGACACAGAAAAUGCCCCCUUUGGGUCUUUUAUCAGCGUGUCUGAUUCUGGGUGGACAAAACAGGGCAUAUCCCUCCUAUGGUUCUAAAAUGUAUUCUUGAAAAAUAUUGGAGAGGAACGACCCCGAAUUCUCAUUUUCGAUGGGCAUGAUAGCCACCAUCAUGUGGAACUCAUUGAAAGUGCACGAGAAAAACAGAUCAUUCUUAUGGAAAUGCCUGCUCACUGCUCACAUUGGCUGCAACCUUUAGACAGGUGUUAAUAUUUACAUGACUAUUGUUUUCUACUAUGGUCAUUAAUUUAUUCCAGUAACACAUACAUGACCUAAGACUAACUGGCUAAUGGGUGCAUUCAAUGGAAUUAUAUAUAUUGGUUAUACAUGGACAUGUUCACUUUUAGAUCUGUGUUUGGACCCUUGAAAAAAAAAUGCAAGAAAUCAGUUCUUCCUUCACAACAGAGACAGCCUGUCCUGUGACUCUUGUCAAGUUUUUUCGGCUUUUCACAAAGUCGUGGAGCAGUCUAAAACCCGAUUAUCUUGUAAAUGGGUUCAGGGUGACUGGUAUUUAUCCAUUCAAUCCAUCUGCCAUUCCAGAUGAAGCCUAUCUGCCAUCACAAUUGUAUGCUGAUCCUGCAGGAGAUAGUGCAAAGGGAAACCCUGAAGCAAUGACCUCUUCCUACAUAUCAUUCCCUGCAGAUUGUGACAUGGCUGGAGAAUAUACACCAUCCCUCCCUCAUUCAACUCCCUCAGUUGCUGCUUCCACUGCAUAUUCG